rnacentral:rRNA from 1 species
UGGGGAAUAUUGCACAAUGGGCGCAAGCCUGAUGCAGCCAUGUCGCGUGUAUGAAGAAGGCCUUCGGGUUGUAAAGUACUUUCAGCGGGGAGGAAGGGAGUAAAGUUAAUACCUUUGCUCAUUGACGUUACCCGCAGAAGAAGCACCGGCUAACUCCGUGCCAGCAGCCGCGGUAAUACGGAGGGUGCAAGCGUUAAUCGGAAUUACUGGGCGUAAAGCGCACGCAGGCGGUUUGUUAAGUCAGAUGUGAAAUCCCCGGGCUCAACCUGGGAACUGCAUCUGAUACUGGCAAGCUUGAGUCUCGUAGAGGGGGGUAGAAUUCCAGGUGUAGCGGUGAAAUGCGUAGAGAUCUGGAGGAAUACCGGUGGCGAAGGCGGCCCCCUGGACGAAGACUGACGCUCAGGUGCGAAAGCGUGGGGAGCAAACA